UCACAUGGGAAGAUGAAAGUGGCGUAGAUAACUCAUCCCACAUGCCUCUCCCUUCCCAU
rnacentral:sRNA from 1 species